rnacentral:siRNA from 1 species
AAGGAGCUCUAUCAUCAAAUUCUC